rnacentral:rRNA from 1 species
UACGUAGGGUGCAAGCGUUGUCCGGAAUUAUUGGGCGUAAAGAGCUCGUAGGCGGUCUGUCGCGUCGGAUGUGAAAAUCCAGGGCUCAACCCUGGACCUGCAUUCGAUACGGGCAGACUAGAGUUCGGUAGGGGAGACUGGAAUUCCUGGUGUAGCGGUGAAAUGCGCAGAUAUCAGGAAGAACACCGGUGGCGAAGGCGGGUCUCUGGGCCGAUACUGACGCUGAGGAGCGAAAGCGUGGGGAGCGAACAGG